CAGUAGCCGCGGGAAAACGUAGGGUGCAAGCGUUAAUCGGAAUUACUGGGCGUAAAGCGUGCGCAGGCGGUUUUGUAAGACAGAGGUGAAAUCCCCGGGCUCAACCUGGGAACUGCCUUUGUGACUGCAAGGCUAGAGUACGGCAGAGGGGGAUGGAAUUCCGCGUGUAGCAGUGAAAUGCGUAGAUAUGCGGAGGAACACCGAUGGCGAAGGCAAUCCCCUGGGCCUGUACUGACGCUCAUGCACGAAAGCGUGGGGAGCAAACAGGAUUAGAUACCCCAGUAGUCCCUGUCUCUUAUAA
rnacentral:rRNA from 1 species